rnacentral:lncRNA from 1 species
AUGACUACUGUUCUCCCACAGGUGGGAAGCAGAGGUACGUCAACCCUGCUAAUCUCUCACUUGCUACCCAUAAAAGAUCUGUUCACGUUCAGGAGUUGCUUGAGCCCUCCUUCACUGUGCUGCGCUGAGCCCCAACUCACGGAGACUGCUGAGGCGGGGUCUCCUCUGAACAUGGCUCAUGGGGAGAGGGGAGGGAAGGGCCUGGGUGCUGCAGAGGAUUACUGCGUUUUCAACUGGCUCAGAAAAGUGGGGCUGAAAAGGCAGGAUAGCGCUUUUCUGGGGCCAAUCUCCCAAGGAACCAUCUCUGGAAGUGGACAUCAAAAGAAGACUGAUGCAGAUGUCGUGGGGAUUCAGGUGACAUCCAGGAGCGAGCAAAAUGACCUUCCCACUGCUGGAAGAACAGGAGGCACCAGUGAAGGAUUAGAUGAAAACUCGAGACUUCUUGAUCAUAAAGUAACCCUCCAGAUCUGAAGUAAUAAAGACACUGCUCUUUCAGAAAAGAAAGCCUCU